rnacentral:rRNA from 1 species
AUUGAUCGCUGGCGGAAUGCUUUACACAUGCAAGUCGAACGGCAGCACGGACUUCGGUCUGGUGGCGAGUGGCGAACGGGUGAGUAAUACAUCGGAACGUGCCCAGUCGUGGGGGAUAACGUAGCGAAAGCUACGCUAAUACCGCAUACGAUCUAAGGAUGAAAGCGGGGGAUCGCAAGACCUCGCGCGAUUGGAGCGGCCGAUAGCAGAUUAGAUAGUUGGUAGGGUAAAGGCCUACCAAGCCGACGAUCUGUAGCUGGUCUGAGAGGAUGAUCAGCCACACUGGGACUGAGACACGGCCCAGACUCCUACGGGAGGCAGCAGUGGGGAAUUUUGGACAAUGGGCGCAAGCCUGAUCCAGCCAUUCCGCGUGCAGGAUGAAGGCCUUCGGGUUGUAAACUGCUUUUGUACAGAACGAAAAGGCUCUGGUUAAUACCCGGGGCUCAUGACGGUACUGUAAGAAUAAGCACCGGCUAACUACGUGCCAGCCGCCGCAGUAA